ACUUCCCUCUCCCCAGCCAAUUUGUCCAGCUCCUCCCGGGGGAUCCUGAGGAAUUCCCAGGCCAGCCAAACGUAUCCUGGGUCUUCCCCGUGGCCUCCUACCGGUCGGACAUACCCCAAACACCUCCCUAGGGAGGCGUUGGGUGACAUCCUGACCAGAUGCCCGAACCACCUCAUCUGGCUCCUCUCAAAUGGGAUGAGCAGCGGCUUUACUCUGAGCUCCUCCCGGAUGGCAGAGCUUCUGACCCUAUCUUUAAGGGAGAGCCCCACCACCCAGCGGAGGAAGCCCAUUGUGGCCGCUUGUACCCAUGAUCUUGUCCUUUCGGUCAUAAACCAAAGCUCAUGACCAUAGGUGAGGAUGGGAGCGUAGAUCGACAGGUAAAUCGAGAGCUUUGCCUUCCGGCUCAGCUACUUAACCACAACGCACCGAUCCGUCUGUCAAUGUCACGAUCCACCCGUCCCCCACUCGUCAGCAAGACACCUAGGUACUUGAAAUCCUCCACUUGGGGCAAGAUCUCCUCCCCAACUUGGAGAUAGCACUCCACCCUUUCCCGGGCGAGAAUUGUAACACAAAAUCUUAGGGUACAUUAAACAUGUUUCUUGUUGCAGUUAAGUCCUUAAAUAUAAUAGUUAACAUACAAGACAACUUGUCUUUUAGUAGUAAGCAAACAAACAAAGGCUCCUAAUUAGUCAUCUGACAUAUGCUGUAAAAUAUUAUAUAAUUUAUCAUUCUAUUUUUUUGUCAACAUUAUUAAGGACAAGUGGUAGAAAAUUAUUAAUCUGUUUGUUCAUUUAUUGUUAAUAUCUGGACUGGUAUGUUUCAGAGAGAUGAUUCAUUAGUAUUGCGAUACUAUACUAGUACCGGUAUACCGUACAACCCUACUCCCUAGUGUUACCUUAUCUAAGUUAUUGUGUAGAAAUGUUGGGAAACAACUACAAAAGUACACUUCAUUCAUUAACGGUGUUAAUAAAAAGAUCAGUUAUAAUAAUACAUCAUGUUGGAUAUAGAGAACAUACAAACCCUUUAUUUAUUGAAUUGAAAAUACUGAAAUCGCACAACAUAGUGCAUUUGCAAACAGCUAAAAUUAUGCACAAAGCAAACUACAAUCUGUUACCCAAGAAUGUACAACAAUUCUUCUUUAAAAAAGAGGAAAUAUGUAAUCCUAGAGAAAUAUGUAAUUUAAAACAUUUAAAACACUUAAGACCUUCAGUAUAUUUUAGUAUGUGGAAUUAAAUUAUAUAAUGGAUGAAAAAAAACUCAAACAAAGUACUAAUAUGAUUCACUUCAAGAAACUCUUCAAACUUAAAGUGUUUACAAAGUACAAAGAAGAAGAACCAUUAUAACCAUUCUGAAUUUAUUUCCUCCAUUCAUUCAUUUUCUAGAUAAUCUAAUUUAUCUCACCAUAUGAAAUAUAACUUACUUCACAAAUUAUUAUUUAUUUAUUUUAAUGCUAUUAGUUAUGGAGUAUAUUGUGAAUACAUUGAUAACAGGAAGUGAACAAACGUUUUAGCAACAGCUAUGUAAAAGAAAAGGGGUAGGAUUAAAUAAAUUCUGCUUCUUCCUACUCCUUUUCAAACAUGUUGAAUAGAGAAACUGGAAAUUGGGAUGGAUCAUGUUGUAUGCAUGCAUGUUCCAAAUAAACACAAACUCAACUCAACUCAAUACUGUCAAAAUAAUGUUGUUAUUGAUUGGAGAAAGAAGAGUAAUUUUUAUUUUUUUUUAUUAAUCUCCACUAUGUAUUUUAAGCAGCAUAAACAUUCUGUUCUUGCAGACAGAGUAUAAGGCCAUUUUGCUUUUGACAUUUUUUGACACCAAAAUAUAACCCAGUAAGACGCAGUAACUACUUCAUGGAGUUUCUCUUCAAAUAAACAUACAGCAUUCAACAAUGGGACAGUAUGCUGAAUAAAACAUUUGACAAAGACAAUCAGACAAGUGCUGUCAAAUGUUAUGCAGUCACUUAGCAACUGUCUUAAGAUUAAAUCAAUGUGAGACAUUUAUAUUUGUUUGAAAAUGAACGAUAAAUGAUUAAAACACGUAAAAUUCAUGUCAAACUACAAUAGGUUGUGAGGUUAGUUUGUUUGAUUUCCAGUGUGUGAUGUCAACAAUGCUUUUUAUGGUACAUGUCUUAACACUUACUGUAUGGUACAUUUGAAAAAUAGACCUAAAAACACCUCAUACUUUGCUCUUUUCACUUUUAUAAAAAUUACUAUGCGUUGUAAAAAUAUCAACAAUACAUGAAAAUAUUGUUACAAUGGCAUUUUAGGUGGUGACAAAUUAUUGUGUGGCUACAAACUAGAAGAAACUAACUGAUUCAAAGCUUUUUCCAGUAAAAACCUAGUUAUAAAAAAAAUACUUUAAAAAAAUAUAUUUAUAUAUUAUGGGACAAUUUGUUGUAUUCUUGACAGCCCGAUAAGUAACUUCUGGUUAAAUACAUAACAUAACAUAACAUAACAAACACAACAAAAAAAUACCAUAAUAAUAUCAAGUUUCAAAGUGUCAGGGAGGAAGGUGCAGCAGCUUUUAAACCUGUGAAGCUAAGUGGGAGAUCCAUACCACCAUGGGGCUACAUUACAAAAAUCCACAGUGAACAACAAACACUAUUACAGCUGCCACAAAUCCAAUGAUGAAACAAAAAUGGCUGGAGUGGAUAUUGAUUCAGAUGCUGUAUGAAGUAUGCCCGUCUCUUAAAAAAGUGUUACUUCUACUGUUCGGAGUGUUUUUAGAUGGUUAGUCCGUUUGCAAAGCUUUUGGUGCUCAAACAAUACUUUAACACUGUUUUUUCCACCACUAGGGGGUACAGUGCAUGCAUGUUUCACAUACAAACUUUAAAUCAUGAUUCCAACUAAGGGACAGUAAAUUAAACGAGGAGGGGUGUACUUUGCUAGUUAGUUUUGGGGCUAAAGCUGACCCCAGGCCAGUCGUAGGUGUCGGGCAGGAAGGAGUCAUAGUUGGUGUUCCACACGGUCGCGUGCACAAAGGCGUUCUUGUCUAAGGGCUCUGGGUAGCGGAACGCCAUGCCUUUAGCGUACACAAACUCCACCACCUGAAGUCAAAGCAGUUAGUUAACAAGUUAUAGGGAGUUUAAGUAUGAUCUGUUUUUCUUGCCUUGACAGCCAUCUGGAGUGAAACCUCUCUGAUGUUGGAGAGCGGCGGGUAUAGUCGGCCUUCCUCCAGCUCUUCAGCAGUCAGCUGCUCUGCCAGCGUCUACCGGAUGAGCAGCGAGAUCAUUUGCGUGAACCACUAUACCAGCAGGACUCAAACCUGGGAGGUGAGGAGAGCAGUGGGGAGCAGCAGUGCCGCGCCCGGAAAUCAUUUGUGGUGAUUUAACCCCCCAUUCAAACCCUUGAUGCUGAGUGCCAAGCAGGAAGGCCAGGCCCACAGUGGGAGUGUAGACAAUCGGCAUCAGCUCCUCGAUGUCCCCCAUCAAGACUCUGUAGAAGAGCCUCUCGUUUCUUUCCUGGAUGCCCAUCAGGGGGCAGCAGGCCGUGUAUGCCCAACAUUUGUCGCUCCUGUAAAGAAAAGGCCAUUCCCUGGGAAAACAUAAAGAGACAAUAGGAGAAGAUGAGAGCUGAAAGAAGUGACCAUGUGAAAGCAGUUUUGCAGCUGGUGAAAGAAAUGAGGGAAGGAGGAGGGUGUCACCUGCAGGAAGCCAAUAAAGACAAGACAGUUUGAAGAUACAAAGGGGGAGGCUCACCCUGCAAAAUGCAAAGUCAUGGUGAGGGAACACUUUCCAUCGCUAUCGUCACCUAUAGGCCUGUCAAGAGAUUUUUAUCUAAAUGAGUUUUUAACUGUUUGAAUAAAGGAUAUUGAUUAAUAUUGA